rnacentral:rRNA from 1 species
AAGGGCCACGGUAUACUAACCGUGCGAAGGUAGCAUAGUCAAUAGUCUCUUAAAUGUAGGCGUGAAGGAACGGUCUGACAYGAGGGGGGUUGUCUCGGCGUGGGGGGGUGAAAAUUUAUUUUGUGUGAAAAAGGGCUWUAGGGGUUUGGGGGGACGAUAAGACCCUAUAAAACUUGAUGGGGGGUUGUUUGGGUCUAGGGUUAAGGGUAAGGGGGGGCCAGGCGGCACCCAUUGUGCUGGGGCGGCARAAAUGUAAGUGGUAACCGUUUGUUUGGGCAAAAUAAUUAUAAUUGGYUUUGACCCUGAAUUUGGGGUUAGAAGUGUAAGUUACUUUAGGGAUAACAGCAUUAUUUCUCUUGAGAGUUCAUAUCGACAGAKAUAUUUGCGACCUUGAUGUUGAAUUAAAGCUUUUCUGGGAGCAGGAGUUCGGAAAGAGGGGUCUGUUCCACCCUUGAAGCU